AGUGGGGGAUAACGUAGCGAAAGUUACGCUAAUACCGCAUAUUCUGUGAGCAGGAAAGCAGGGGAUCUUAGGACCUUGCGCUGAUUGAGCGGCCGAUAUCAGAUUAGCUAGUUGGUGAGGUAAAGGCUCACCAAGGCGACGAUCUGUAGCGGGUCUGAGAGGAUGAUCCGCCACACUGGAACUGAGACACGGUCCAGACUCCUACGGGAGGCAGCAGUGGGGAAUUUUGGACAAUGGGGGCAACCCUGAUCCAGCCAUGCCGCGUGAGUGAAGAAGGCCUUCGGGUUGUAAAGCUCUUUCAGCCGGGAAGAAAACGCAUGGGUUAAUACCCUGUGUGGAUGACGGUACCGGAAUAAGAAGCACCGGCUAACUACGUGCCAGCAGCCGCGGUAAUACGUAGGGUGCGAGCGUUAAUCGGAAUUACUGGGCGUAAAGCGUGCGCAGGCGGUUUUGUAAGACAGGCGUGAAAUCCCCGGGCUCAACCUGGGAACUGCGUUUGUGACUGCAAGGCUAGAGUAUGGCAGAGGGGGGUGGAAUUCCACGUGUAGCAGUGAAAUGCGUAGAGAUGUGGAGGAACACCGAUGGCGAAGGCAGCCCCCUGGGCCAAUACUGACGCUCAUGCACGAAAGCGUGGGUAGCAAACAGGAUUAGAUACCCUGGUAGUCCACGCCCUAAACGAUGUCAACUAGGUGUUGGGUGGGUAAAACCAUUUAGUACCGGAGCUAACGCGUGAAGUUGACCGCCUGGGGAGUACGGCCGCAAGGUUAAAACUCAAAGGAAUUGACGGGGACCCGCACAAGCGGUGGAUGAUGUGGAUUAAUUCGAUGCAACGCGAAAAACCUUACCUACCCUUGACAUGUCCAGAAGCCCUUAGAGAUUUGGGUGUGCCCGAAAGGGAGCUGGAACACAGGUGCUGCAUGGCUGUCGUCAGCUCGUGUCGUGAGAUGUUGGGUUAAGUCCCGCAACGAGCGCAACCCUUGUCGUUAAUUGCCAUCAUUUAGUUGGGCACUUUAACGAGACUGCCGGUGACAAACCGGAGGAAGGUGGGGAUGACGUCAAGUCCUCAUGGCCCUUAUGGGUAGGGCUUCACACGUCAUACAAUGGACGGUACAAAGGGUCGCCAACCCGCGAGGGGGAGCCAAUCCCAGAAAGCCGAUCGUAGUCCGGAUCGUAGGCUGCAACUCGCCUGCGUGAAGUCGGAAUCGCUAGUAAUCGUGGAUCAGCAUGUCACGGUGAAUACGUUCCCGGGUCUUGUACACACCGCCCGUCACACCAUGGGAGCGGGUUCCGCCAGAAGUAGGUAGCCUAACCGCAAGGGGGGCGCUUACCACGGCGGGGUUCGUGACUGGGGUGAAGUCGGAACAAGGUAGCCGUAG
rnacentral:rRNA from 1 species